CCUACGGGUGGCAGCAGUGGGGAAUAUUGGACAAUGGGCGAAAGCCUGAUCCAGCCAUGCCGCGUGUGUGAAGAAGGCCUUCGGGUUGUAAAGCACUUUCAGUGGGGAAGAAAGCCUUGGGGCUAAUACCCUCGAGGAAGGACAUCACCCACAGAAGAAGCACCGGCUAACUCCGUGCCAGCAGCCGCGGUAAUACGGAGGGUGCGAGCGUUAAUCGGAAUUACUGGGCGUAAAGCGCGCGUAGGCGGUCUGAUAAGCCGGUUGUGAAAGCCCCGGGCUCAACCUGGGAACGGCAUCCGGAACUGUCACGCUAGAGUGCAGGAGAGGAAGGUAGAAUUCCCGGUGUAGCGGUGAAAUGCGUAGAGAUCGGGAGGAAUACCAGUGGCGAAGGCGGCCUUCUGGACUGACACUGACGCUGAGGUGCGAAAGCGUGGGUAGCAAACAGGACUAGAUACCCGAGUAGUC
rnacentral:rRNA from 1 species